rnacentral:sRNA from 1 species
GACACGGGCUGGCACCGCCCGCCAGGCGCACGCUGCCCUCACCUGGUGAUGGUGGAUGGAGAGGAAUCCCUACGAUACCUGCUUUCAAGACCAAAGCCCCGAAUUCUGCAUAUGUAUGGAUUUGGCCCCCAACUUGUUACGAAGGACCGCCACAUCUUCAUAGUGAAAGCAGUUGUGGACACCCCAGCCCCUGCUGCCACACUCGCUCAGAGACGCUUCCUGCCCGCGGC